ensembl:lncRNA novel transcript
GUAUUUAUUCCCCAUCAGCCAUUCAUUAUGCUUGCUGGCAGAGGGCAUAACCUUGAGUGAGGCACACUAUGAAAUGUCAGAAGCCUAUUUCCGCAACAGCUUGGAGAUGGAUGUGAAAUGAACUGCAGAUUCUGAGCGCAGUUUUACAAGCACAACUUGAGUCUGAGUUCUAGCUACUGCCCAGUUGUGUGACCUUGGCCAAUGUCGUCUUGUUGAACUCACAUUAAAAACUCUGUAAAAUAGAUGUCUAUUAAAAAGAAAGGGGAACAGUGAAAACGGAAGAUGGCAUCUGUGAAAGAGAAAGAAGAAAAAAAGAAAAAAAAAUAAAGAAAUCAGUUCGGGUCAACAUGCGAUCACAUUAAGGGUUAAAUCCAAGCAAUGAACAAAGGAGAAGCCAGGGCCUGAUGGGGAAGGAACCUAGAAAACUGCAGUUCAAUUCAGGAUCACUUACAACUUCCCUAGGGGAUCAUAACCAUUUGCUCAGUGAGAGGAAAACUUCUGGAUGGGCAGAGCUCCCAGUAAUGGACUUGGUCAGCCAUUUUGUAUGGAACGAGAAACAGCCUGAGGUAAGUGGCACA